UAUAAAAGAGUGGGGUGGCUGGGUGAGAAAGGAACUGGAGUCAGUUGGCUUCUUUGUGAAGAAGAAAGAGGUAGUGCUCUGAGGAGCUGCCCACGAGAAACAUCAAGAAGGUGCAGAAAGUGUUGAUUUUGGGGGUUUACCUGAUCUUCAGAAAUUCAUGCCUCUGAGAAGAAUGGGCUGCUGUGAGGAAAAAAAGAAAUCUAAAGUUGAAAUGUUCAUAAGUAGUAUAUAUAGUUAGAAAAAUGCAUGAAAAAAUUAAAUCAAAGAGAUGUCAUCUAAAAGUAAUGUCUACCAUGAAAAUCAAAACCUCUGCUGCCAAAGAAGAUAUAUACAAUAGCCAGAGCUGGAGCUAUGGCCCCAGUAUUGCACAGCCCCAUCUUCUCAUUCUCAGAAACCAUUCCUGGAUAUUUCAAGGGCUGCUGUUCUGUACCCUACUUGCUGUCCUAUAACUUACUAUGCUGCUGUUUGUAUGGUCUGCAAGGUUAAGUUCAUAAUCCUUUACAAAGUCACUCAGUUUGCCUUUACAAUCAGGAAAAAAUGGUGAAGCUUCACCUGUAUUUCACAAAGGUUUCCAGCCACAGUUGUCCUCAGUUCUUUAGCCCAUAAAUGAAAUAGGAGAAAAGAUGAUGUGGUAUGUUUUAUUUUGUCUCUAAAGUUACUGUUGUGGAUUUUUGAGGUCUUGAAGUCAAUGAGAAUUGGAAUAGCCAUUGUAUGGAAUUAAAGGGAUUUGUAUAAAACUA